GACGAACGCUGGCGGCGUGCUUAACACAUGCAAGUCGAACGGAAAGGCCCUGCUUUUGUGGGGUGCUCGAGUGGCGAAGGGGGGAGUAACACGUGAGUAACCUGCCCUUGACUUUGGGAUAACUUCAGGAAACUGGGGCUAAUACCGGAUAGGAGCUCCGGCGGCAGGGGGGGGGUUGGAAAGUUUCGGCGGUUGGGGAUGGACUCGCGGCUUAUCAGCUUGUUGGUGGGGUAGUGGCUUACCAAGGCUUUGACGGGUAGCCGGCCUGAGAGGGUGACCGGCCACAUUGGGACUGAGAUACGGCCCAGACUCCUACGGGAGGCAGCAGUGGGGAAUAUUGCACAAUGGGCGGAAGCCUGAUGCAGCAACGCCGCGUGCGGGAUGACGGCCUUCGGGUUGUAAACCGCUUUCGCCUGUGACGAAGCGUGAGUGACGGUAAUGGGUAAAGAAGCACCGGCUAACUACGUG
rnacentral:rRNA from 1 species